UACGUAGGGUGCAAGCGUUGUCCGGAAUUAUUGGGCGUAAAGAGCUCGUAGGCGGCUUGUCGCGUCGAAUGUGAAAACCCACGGCUCAACUGUGGGCUUGCAUUCGAUACGGGCAGACUAGAGGUAUGCAGGGGAGAACGGAAUUCCUGGUGUAGCGGUGAAAUGCGCAGAUAUCAGGAGGAACACCGGUGGCGAAGGCGGUUCUCUGGGCAUUACCUGACGCUGAGGAGCGAAAGUGUGGGGAGCGAACAGG
rnacentral:rRNA from 1 species